rnacentral:lncRNA from 1 species
CAGGAGAGCAAGUUCCAGGACUCAAGCACAGGCAAGGUGCACGACAGUGUUCCUUUAAGUUGUGAACACUUACAUUCAUCAAUACAUGCUCGAAAAUCAAGUUCCAAGUCAAAAAUGGUGAAAGACUGGAGAUAAAAGAUGAGCUUGGAGGAAUUAACUUACUCAGCAAUUACAUAAAAUGCAAGUGCCCUGGUUCUAAGAGCCAGGGUACACAAGUGCCACUGAUCGGCUCUCACCAUUAAUUCUUAUAGCUAUAAGAACUUUGUAUAACUCAUGUUCUGCCAUGGGGAUACCCAUCGGUCUCCGAGUUGGGCUCUCGGUCUCGUCACCAUCAGACUCCUUGGAAAACAGAGAUGAAGGAGGAUAUCAAGCCCUUAGCUACACUCCCAGACACUAAGAAACUGGUUCAAUUGCCAAUUCUAGACCCAUAAAAUCAACUCUGUGGUUGGGUGUCUCACACUCACAUCUUCUAGCAGCCGUCCUUCUACUCGAAGCUCCCAGGAGGCCACAGUUCCUUCACCAUCCUCUGCAUCCGACUUGGCUGGAUUGAAGGUAUUGGAGAUAAAAAUGCGUAGCUUUCGCUUUUGCUUAAUGGGUCGUUUCAAAGCCUCCUGGAUAUCCAAGCGUUUCCUCAUGAUCGUCUGGUCCAAUUUCCUUUCAAAGGCCAGCAGGUCCAUAUAAGCUUGAGACUCAGGCACAAGUUCACGAAUCCUCUGAGGUAGAAUUUUGUCUGCCAUCUUCUUCUUUUUAGCAUUGUGGUUGCGGUUGGGCACUGCCUGGGGCUGCACCUGCUGCAGCUGCUGCGGCGCGGGCCUCUUGCGGGCCUGGUCCAGGCCGGCCUGCGCCAUGCCGGGCCGCACUGCCGGGCUCCCGCCGUACCCGGGCGGCCCCAUGGAGGGGCCCUGCGGCGCCAGGCGGCUGCCCGGUAACAUCCCGGGGCGCGGGUAGGCGGCCCCCGGCAGCGGCGAGCGGUAUAGGCCCUGUCCCGGGGCCGGGCCCAUGCGCACCGGCCCGCCUGGCGUGCCCGGUCCCAGCGCUCCGGCCCCGGCAGCGGCCCCGCCGCCGCCACCGCUGGGAGUCACCGACUGGAAGCCCGCCCGCGCCGCCAUCUUCUCCAGCACAAAGAGGAGCGGGCCGGAACCGGAGCUCUGACAUAGAGAGCGCGCGGACACCGCCGUAGAGCGGCACCGUCUGCAGAGAGCGCCCUCUGCCGGCGGGAGGAGCUGCCGGUGGGCACUCAUCCUCGUGGUUGUUCGUAGAGCAGAGGGACCUGCAUCCAGCCUGCAUUAAUCCAUGAACAAAAACCAAGAGAGCAGUCACACCGCGAGCCUCAAGGUCAGAUCCCAGCCCCAUCUUUAAAAGCUUUAACGGGUGAAAAAGGAAGAAAAUAAAUACAUGAAAUGCAGUGAAACGUUAGGAAAAAUCCAUAAGAAAAUUUAUGGAUGCGGCCGACCUUUUGUCUUUGGGUGAUUGCUGGGUAACAAAGGGCUGACCCCCAGUUCCUAAUUUUGGUCAGGAAGCAAACAAUAAU